rnacentral:rRNA from 1 species
GACGAACGCUGGCGGCGUGCUUAACACAUGCAAGUCGAACGCUGAAGCCCUGGCUUUUGUUGGGUUGCAUUAGUGGCGAACGGGUGAGUAACACGUGAGUAACCUGCCUUUUUCUUUGGGAUAACGCCCGGAAACGGGUGCUAAUACUGGAUAAUCUCUGAUCUCCGCUUGGGGGUUGGUGAAAGGGGGUGUUCUGGUGGGGGAUGGGCGCGGGGCCUCUCCGUUUGUUGGUGGGGUGAUUGCCUACAUAGGAUUUGACGGGUUGCUGGCCUGAGUGGGUGACCGGGGAACUUGGGACUGGGAUACGGGCCAGAGUGCUACAGGAGGCGGCAGUGGGGAAUAUUGGGCGAUGGGCGAACGCAUGAUGCAGCGGCGCGGCGUGAGGGAUGGAGGCCUGUGGGUUGGAAACCUCUUUCGCUAAUGGUCAAGCCGCAACUGGGGGUUGUGGUGAGGGUAGUGGGUAAAGAAGCGCCGGCUAACUACGUG